rnacentral:lncRNA from 1 species
UAGGGUUGUAGCCUGGGUGGAAUUUAAAGGGAAAGAAGGAAGGUAGGCUUGCUGCUUCCUACGUACCCUGCCGUGAACUGUUUCUCCUCUGCCAUGCCUCCUUGCCUUGGAGCCAGCUGACUAUGGACUGAAACCUCUACCAACUGGAGUUACUUCCUGACAACAGAAGAAACUGGGCCUGGAACCAAGAAAUGCUAGUUCUCCCCAGGAUAGAAAAGGAAUGUGCCUGCCAGCCUUCAGAAGAUUGCCAAGUGAGUGAGACUGUGCCCUCUGCUGAUUACCACUUGGUGCUGUCUCAGCCACUCUUUAACCAAUCAAUAAAGAUCCAGUGGCACAAUCAUGGACAUGAUUUCAAGAGAUGAAUGCAAUCUGUUGGAAUCUCAGCUCUAUCUGCUUUUCUCCCUUGUUUUUAAAGGAAACAUAAUGCAUAUUAUGGGAGGUUAGAAAAUUAAGAUGAAAAUAAAUUUUUGAAUAUUCAUCCCUUUCCUGUAAUGAACUCAACUUUUCCAAAGUGCAAGAAAUCUUAAAACUUUCUUAAAUGCAAGACAACACAUUUUAAAAUGUAAUAACCAC